rnacentral:lncRNA from 1 species
GUUUGGAGCAAAGGACCUCUAAUGUUCUCUCUCUAUUUAAAAAUUCUACAAGUAAAUGGUUGCUAUGCCUACCCCCGGCAGUUGGCUGUUUUUUUGUUUUUGUUUUUUUUUUUUUGUUGCCAUGGGCAUGAUUCCAGUUCUCUCUGAAUUGGCUUAGGCUAGAGAGCAGUUGUCCUUGCCUAAGAACUCUGGGGCCAUGAAAGGAGGUUGCUUGGUGAUGGGUUGGAACAUACUGAUGGCACACCCAGUGUGAAGGAGAAGAUGAAAUGUUCCAGAAUAUUCUCUGGUGCCCACGGUAAUUCCUUGGGGCUAGGAGGGAGCAGAUACACAUACAUUUGGAGCAUUUUCUAUCUGAAAGAAAAUGGUAUAGGAUCACAGGUGUGGCCUGUGUCUGGAGAGGAGGCCAGGUUUCUGGUUUGCAGUGGCUGCAGAAAACCUUUACAAAUACAGCAACAUGCUGGAGCCCUGUUGAAGAAUGUCUGGGAAUGGAAAAUCCAGUUUUCAGCCCUUCAGCGCUGUUGGACAAAGGGACAUCUGUGCUUUCCCUGGGAGAGACCUGGGAAAUCUGAGGCCCUGGCUCUGUGGUAGGGGAAGGCUGGAGGGUGGGGAGGGCUCUGUCCUGGGGCAGCCAGGAAGGCCAUACAGCUCCCCAUUAG